AGUGUGUAGUGUGUAGAUACAAAUUUGCGAGUAUGAAUACGGAACCGUUCCUUAUUAAUAUUCAACAUACGGAUGAUUGACAACUCUAUCGAGCUGCCGCAAUGAGAUUGGAACUAGCGACCUCAAGGAUUCCUCGGCCCGGUCAUGUUGUCUACUGAGAUGUCGUGCACAUACUCAGGAAACUCCGGCCAUUUAGCUGAUGAACGACACCAGAGCGCCCCGAGAUGGGUUCGUGAGUGAAACAGAAACAUUCUAUUACAAAAGCGUCGCAUAAAUAAAUCAAAGAAAAGCCUCGUUAAUCGGUUAUUACCAUAGACAAUGGGAAUUAGAUUAAUGGCGGGAAACACCGCCAUUUGUCAAGAUGUCCGCCGGAGAGAUAGCAUCGUGAUGUCACGAGAUACGUGUGACGGAUUGGGAUAUUGUAUCAUAUUUAUUAAAGGAAAAAAGAAACAUGUGGAUAUAAAAAUAGAA